UACGAAGGGGGCUAGCGUUGUUCGGAAUUACUGGGCGUAAAGAGUGUGUAGGCGGUGCUCUAAGUUCGGUGUGAAAUCUCCCGGCUCAACUGGGAGGGUGCGCCGAAAACUGGAGUGCUGGAGCGCGGGAGAGGAAAGCGGAAUUCCUGGUGUAGCGGUGAAAUGCGUAGAUAUCAGGAGGAACACCGGCGGUGUAGACGGCUUUCUGGACCGUAGCUGACGCUGAGACACGAAAGCGUGGGUAGCAAACAGG
rnacentral:rRNA from 1 species